rnacentral:rRNA from 1 species
GGAUCCUACGGGACGCAGCAGUCGGGAAUAUUGCGCAAUGGAGGGAACCCUGAUGCAGCGACGCCGCGUGGGUGAAGAAGCGCCUCGGCGCGUAAAGCCCUGUCAGCAGGGAAGAAAAUGACGGUACCUGGAGAAGAAGCCCCGGCUAACUACGUGCCAGCAGCCGCGGUAAUACGUAGGGGGCAAGCGUUAUCCGGAUUUACUGGGUGUAAAGGGGGCGCAGACGGCGAUGCAAGCCAGGAGUGAAAGCCCGGGGCCCAACCCCGGGACUGCUCUUGGACCUGCGUGGCUGGAGUGCAGGAGGG